rnacentral:rRNA from 1 species
UACGGAGGGAGCUAGCGUUGUUCGGAAUUACUGGGCGUAAAGCGCACGUAGGCGGCUUUGUAAGUUAGAGGUGAAAGCCCGGAGCUCAACUCCGGAAUUGCCUUUAAGACUGCAUCGCUUGAAUCCGGGAGAGGUGAGUGGAAUUCCGAGUGUAGAGGUGAAAUUCGUAGAUAUUCGGAAGAACACCAGUGGCGAAGGCGGCUCACUGGACCGGUAUUGACGCUGAGGUGCGAAAGCGUGGGGGAGCGAACAGG